CACCCAUCUCCAUGCCUCCUCCUUUCCCAUUUCACACCUCCCCUCAUCUCUCCCUCGUCAACACAGCCGCGACUCCGUCCUCCCUUCCUCUUCACCAUGGAAAACCACCUCCCAGGCGUCGCCAGCAGGAGAGGAGCCGGCUCCGCUCUCCUACGCACCCUCACAAACAUCAUUGCCUUGGGUGAGGAGUUCGUGGGAGGAGAAGUCGAGAAGGCCGGGGUGGGAGGAGGAGGAGGAGGUGGAGUUAGUUCAGCAGAUCAGCAGCGGCGGUGCCGGGAGAGGAAGGGCCAUGGCGGCGGAGGCUUUCGGACUACGCGUUGAGCAGUGUCUCUCCAUGCCGCCGGGACGGCAAGCCCAUGGAGAAGCGCGGUCACCCCGGUACAUGGCCGUCUUCCAUCUCCAUCUGCUGCUCCCCACUCCUGCCGUCCCAUGGCCUGCGUCGCCGCUGCUUGGCUGUUCCCACCUGCUGAUACUACUCGGAUCCCUUGGCUAUUCAGUUCCUGUCUCCACAUCUUUGCAAAGUUUCCUGAAUGGACUCAAGAGUUAGGACUGUUGAGUUAGUAAUCAAUCUCAUGCAGGCAUCUUUCCAUCGAGAGAUCCGUGAAUAAAAGCGGCCUUUCUGGGAUUGUCAAGGUAUUCACUAAUAGAGAGUUGCAUCCAAAAAUAAAGUAGCUAAAGCUUUUUCAAAAAUCAGGGGCCUCCCCCCGGCUCCAUUUUUUAAUGAAGAAAGAGAAGCCAUACGAGUACCACAACAACGAAAGCUAAAACAGACUCUGAACCUAAACUGGGGGUAAAACAGUUCGCUGCACGCCUUAUUACAGACCAAAAAACCAGAAUCUCAGUGGCUAAAGCUUUGGUUCGCUAAAAAAAUUACAUGGUUGAUUAACAGCAGCUUACCUUAACAGGCGGUGUUCAAACCUGGUGGUAAAGACCUACAAAAAGUUUGAGGUGGAAAUUUACGUCCUUGCCAAGGAUGAAGGUGGUCGCCACACUGCCUUCUUCUCAAAUUACAACCCAUAGUUCUACUUCAGGACAGCUGACAUAUGUGGGAAAAUUGAGUUUCCUCCGGACGUGAAGAUUGUUAUGCCUGGUGACAACAUAACUGCAAUCUUUGAGUUGAUGUUGCCUAUUCCACUCGAACCAGGGCUAAGAUUUGCGCUGAGGGAAGGAGGGAGGACCGUCGGCUCCGGAGUCAUUGCCGAAGUCAUGAGCUAAUAACAAAUGUUCCAGACCUUUCUCUUUUUACUUCUCAGUUAGUUCUAUGAUUUUUUUCUAAGGAUUACAAUGCUGCGAAUCAAAUGUCCAUCGUAGGAAAAACAAAUUAAGGUUAUAAAUCCUACAAUUUUUUAAAAUAAAAUUUCUACGAAUCAAAGGAGCCGGUAGAGUAGAAGCAUGCAACACACUAGCUACUUUUGCGUUUGAAGUAUGAGUACGGACAGAAGCAUCCCUUCGACUUAUUAGUGCAUCUCCAACGCCUUGCCGUAAAACGUACAGGCCGACGCGUUCGGACGCACUUUGCCAUCCAACGCGGACCGUAUUUCGUCCGUUUUCCCCAAACUGGAAGCAAACCUGGGGAGACUGUGUGGGAGUCUAGAUCUCAUUGAAUCAAUAUUUAAGUAGCAGUAAGUAAUGACUACAAACACUCCAUGCAUCUACAGAUCGCUUGCGUCUCUCGCUCUGAAUCUAAUCUUCAGAUUUCUGUUGUCCACCACAAAAUAACUUGAUUAAAGAUACUAUGGGAUCUUGGAGACCUCAGAUGUAGGUGAGGAUGAGGUGCCAGAUAUGAAAUUAUGAAGGAUGAGACAUGUCUGAUGAAGAAGGCUUGGCUAGGUAUAUUAGAACAAUCCAUGUUUUAUUCUUGGCACUAUACAAGUGCAUCUCCUCUUUUACUGUAAUAGCAUGAUGCGCUAAUUUUCUUACAAGUCUGAUAAAUAUGUAUAAUUAUAUGAUUAUUGAAGCCCACAUAUAUUUUUAAGCAAUGCAGUAUGUGGUAUUGCUUUUCAUUUCUUUUAGACAAUAGUAAAAAGAAAAUCUGGUCCAAAAGUAUGUGGUAUACAGUUUAAAAAAAUGGUCUGGUGGUCAGGAGUCAUGUAUGAUAUAGUUAUCAUUUGGAUGCUUAAAGCUGGUCAUUUUGUAGGAAUAUGCCUGGGUUUUUGUCAAAUGCAAGCCGCACUUCAUAUUUUUUCAAAUGGAUUUUCUUAUCAAAUAAUUGUCUCUUACGUGGAUAUACUUUGUGUUAAACCCAAGAAAUAAAAGGUGAAUUAUCCAUGAUUAUGAUCUGGUAUUACUUUGAACAUUUUGUGUUUCAUGGUAUCCUAAAAUACGGUCUGCUUUUUAGAGUUUAUUCCCAUUUACUUGUGUUCUUCCAAAAUAAUAGUAUAUUAGUUGUUUAUUAGACUUCCUUCUGGUUGUUGAAAUUUAAAUGUUUGCCGUGGAAUAGGAAAUUUGAGUACAGUAGCCGUUAGCCUGAAAAUAAUAUAGUGAGCCAUAGAGAAGAUUGUUGCUCUAAUUGACUGGUAUUUAUCGCGCUGAUCUCUUUCUCUCGCACCUACAAUUGUAAAAAUGCCCCUGCUGAAUAUCUUGAAUGGUCCUAGAACCUUCUCACUUACAGGUCUAGUGAUCCUUGCGAACUUCUUUCCAACAUUGAAGCACAAAUUGCAAAAGCAAACGAUGAAUCCAUAACAAAGAAAGAUAUCAUGAAGAGAGUAGAAAAAUGGCUAUUGGCCUGUGAUGAAGAGACUUGGCUUGAGGAAUAUAAUCAAUCCUGUUUUUUUCAAUGAAGAUAUGCUAGCACAUGGUCCAUCAGUUUAAUAUGAUUUCCCCCUUUUUCUUCUCUAUGUUGGCAUGCUUAUACUGAUAUUCAAUUUGGCUGCCAAGCUAUGAUUUAGGUAAUGUCCUCUUUAAUGUUUGCAUAUGCCCUACUGCAGGAUGAUAACAGGUACAGGAAGGGGUGCCCAUUUGAAUCUCAAGCAUGCAGAGAAAGCAGGGGUGCUUGUUCAAAAGAUUCCAACUAUGAUUGACAACUUGAUAGACAAGACAUUUGCCUGGGAGGAUGAAAGCAAUACACCAUUUCUUUAUGACGUGGUUCACAUGGUUGCCAUUUUGGAAGAGCAAAAACUCGGGAGAGUACAGAAAGAGGAAGAUAAGCGACGAUACCGGAUAUAAAUUCCACAUCCUCUGGCACUACACUCACAACAGAAGUCAUCAGUCUUGUUCACUGACUCUUAACAGAGGACCAGAAGAACAUGUACAAUCUAUUGCGUAAAGAGAAUGAGAUGAUAUUUGGGUCCAAGUCUGUUCCGAGGAAGAUAAGCAGUUUUAAUAGGAGGACACCCAAAUGGGAGCGAGGCUGGUUUCAUGACUCCGAUGCCCACACCCAAGCUUUUGACACCACGCUCGUACUCUGGACGGUACAACAAUUACUUCAAGGAGAACCGGCGGAUGACGGCGGCACCACUCAACUUCUCGGCGGCUUCCAAGGAUGACAUGUUAUCCUUUGCCUCCAUGAGCGGAUCGGAGCCUGAUUCUCCAUUAGUUUUGCACUGAGCAUAAGACAGCGGUGGGGUGGCAGGCCGCACCUGUGCCCAUGUUGUCACUGACAAUCCACUUGGUCGUCGCCGACUGGGGUUGCCGUGCGGGAACUACGUGUUGACCACGGCGUGCCCGUAUGAUGCUCUACUUUUGAAACCUGCUAUCAGUUCCUUUUGAUUUACUAUUGUCUUUUGUUAUCACUGAUCUUAGUGUCCAUACUGUCACUGUUAGUAUCUAUGUUGUCACUGUUUAUACUGCUCCAGUCAGGAACUUGCACCUGUGACUAUUUUCAUAUUACUAUCUUGUUGCUCUCAUGCAAAUACGAUGUGCAACACUAACAAAGC